CUGGGGAAACCGAGGGUUGGUGAGCGGGGUUCCGGGCGGCGCCCCGGCCGUUCUCUUUCAGCUCUUGACUUGGGGAUCGCUAGGCCCCAGCAUCGUGAGCAGUCGCGGCUGCCGCAGGGUGGAGGCGACUUGGCCCCAGGGGACCUUCCCCUGAGCGCCCCGGGGGCGCGGUCGGUCCGACGGAGGCGGGCACAGGGCUGCUUAUUGGCUGGUGAGGCGGGCGGCCGACGGGAGUCGGCAAAAGAGGCCUCCCGGGUGGGCCGGGUCCCGAGUACAGGGCCUGCCGAGCGUAAAGGAGUCGCGCGGGCUGCGAUACAGUUGUAGGCGUAGGACGGUCGCUGACUCCACUGGGGCACUUGAUCACCCAACUUGAAGAGGCCCUGGCCCCCUGGGGCUUGUUAAGGUCUGCGCAGAUGAUGAGGGAGGCGGCACCCUGGGGUCUGAGGACUGUGGGGACGGUCCUUGGUGGCGGGGACCCUCAUGGACCAGCUGGGGUCUGUGGAGAGUCAGAACUACUUCUGGUAGCACUUGGGAGGGCUUCUAGGUGGCUGUGGUUAAGGAUAAAAUGCACAGCACGAGCCGAGCAGCUGUAAGUCAGAACCUGGGUCUUGUCACUAACUGAAAGAAACAGUUAUCUCCUAAGCACUCAGAGCUCAUAGAGAUAUUGCUGCCCUUUGGGCGUGAACCUGGUAAAAUCCACGUGAUGAGAACAGUAUCUGACAUUCAUCGAGUACCUGCCACGUGACAGGUUGUGCUGAGUGCCCCACACGCACCAGGGACUCACAAUGGGUGCGGUUGGGCGUCUGUGAGGACAGAUGAGAGGCUGCAGGUGUGCUACCGAAUAGUUUGGAGUCACUCUAAAGCAUCAUCAACCCUAAACUUACUUCCCAAGAGGGCAAGAGAACAUGAUUUUAACUUAGCAGAAACUUGUUCACUCAUUAGAGAAAGUCUGAGGAAACCUCCAUUCCGCUUAGACUUCAAGCCUCAGAGGAAAGAAAAUGGACACAUGAAGAUCCAGAAGUGUGCAGACGCCACCCAGGCACUGUCUGGGAGACCUGUGGCCGGACAACCAAGGGCAGUGACCACACCUGUAGUCUGAUCCCUACAACGGGGAUGGAAACAGCAGCUGUCAGUGCUUGGAGCCACUGAAAUUUGAAUCUUAAGACCCACUCCCAGAUCCCCCAGCUUCCCCUGAAACUUGUGUUCAAAGAGGGGUGCAUUCCUGGCAGCAACACUGGUACCACUGACAACGGGCGGGCCCUUGGUGGGUUCCUCUGUGCCCUGGCUCUCUGCUCUUCUGUGUCCACUUCCUGGAGGACAGGGCACCUGGUCUCAGCACCAGGGCAAAGCUGAGGAGCAGACCGGGGUUGGUGAGCCUGUCUCUGGACAGCCUCCCUCUGGCUCCCUAACCACAGGGGCCCCACUCAGCCGCAAGCUGCACGAGAGCUUCUCUACCCUCAAAUCCUACGUGAAGGAAAUGGAUCAUGAGGUUUGGGUAAUCAAGAAACUGAUUUACAAUCUCUGAGGAACAGAGAAGCCUCUAUAUUACGCCCGGGAGACAGGUGAGAUGAGCCUCACCGAGCGCCUCCCAGGAUCCCACACAGUCCUCAUUCCUGGAUGGCCUGAAGAUUAACUGAAGCCCUCCUUGACGAUGCCUCGCUCCUCAAAAACAUGCCAAGGCUCCACGGCCUCCAGGACGGAGCCCACAGUCUCCAGGAGACAAAAAGCCAGGCCCUGCCAGCUCCAGAGUCACAUUCCCAUCUUUGCUACGUUGCACCUUUGCUUGCGCUGCUUCUGUCCCCUGUGCCACUUCUGUCCCCUUGUGCCGUCAUCCCACCGUCUUCAAGGCAGUUCCAGUCCUCCUCCAUCAAGCUUUCCUGGCCUCUACCACUACCUCCACCGCACUCCUGUGUUACCCGCAACAGGACCCGAGGAAGCACCUGACUCCGGCUGCGUCUCCCUCUCCCCGUGAGGAGCCCACAGUUGAGGACAGGACUCAGAAGUCCCCCUUCCCGUUCCCUUCUUGACCUGUGUGAGGCAACAGCUUGCUCCUCCCCCCAGGCCUGACAAUGUGGAGCCCCUGGGCCGGCACCCUGCUGGCCUUCAUCCGCACCUCCCGACUUCUGAAGACUCGGGUGUUCCUGGCUCGGCCUGUGCCAAGGCCUGGUGGGAAGGAGGUCUGGGUGGCUGUGCCUCACACCUGUUCCUCUCAGGCCUUCCUCCUUUCCCCUUGGAUUGGGUCAACUUGGGAAAUCUGAUCCAAAACUUUUUUUCUCAUUAAACUUUGUUUUAAUGGGUCUCAAAA